rnacentral:rRNA from 1 species
GGGGAGCAAUCCCUGAGUAGAGUGGCAAACGGGUGAGUAACACGUGGGUGACCUGCCUCAGAGUGGGGGAUAACGUCCCGAAAGGGACGCUAAUACCGCAUAACAUCCUGCCUUUGGAAAGGCGGAGAUCAAAGCCGGGGAUCGCAAGACCUGGCGCUUGGAGAGGGGCCCGCGUCUGAUUAGCUAGUUGGUAGGGUAAUGGCCUACCAAGGCGACGAUCAGUAUCCGGCCUGAGAGGGCGGACGGACACACUGGGACUGAGACACGGCCCAGACUCCUACGGGAGGCAGCAGUGGGGAAUUGUUCGCAAUGGGCGCAAGCCUGACGACGCAACGCCGCGUGGAGGAUGAAGAUCUUCGGGUCGUAAACUCCUGUCGAGCGGGACGAACACUUAUCUGGUGAAUACCCAGGUAGGCUGACGGUACCGCUAAAGGAAGCCCCGGCUAACUCCGUGCCAGCAGCCGCGGUAAUACGGGGGGGGCAAGCGUUGUUCGGAAUUACUGGGCGUAAAGGGCUCGUAGGCGGCCAACUAAGUCGGACGUGAAAUCCCCAGGCUCAACCUGGGAACUGCGUCCGAUACUGGAUGGCUUGAAUCCGGGAGAGGGAUGCAGAAUUCCAGGUGUAGCGGUGAAAUGCGUAGAUAUCUGGAGGAAUACCGGUGGCGAAGGCGGCAUCCUGGACCGGCAUUGACGCUGAGGAGCGAAAGCCAGGGGAGCAAACGGGAUUAGAUACCCCGGUAGUCCUGGCCCUAAACGAUGAAUGCUUGGUGUAACGGGUAUCGAUCCCUGUUGUGCCGAAGCU